rnacentral:rRNA from 1 species
AGCGCAGGCUGUUUGUCAAGUCAGAUGUGAAAGCCCACGGCUCAACCGUGGAAGUGCAUUUGAAACUGGCAGACUUGAGUAUCAGAGGGGAAAGUGGAAUUCCCGGUGUAGAGGUGAAAUUCGUAGAUAUCGGGAGGAAUACCGGUGGCGAAGGCGACUUUCUGGCUGAAUACUGACGCUGAGGCUCGAAAGCGUGGGGAGCAAACAGGAUUAGAUACCCUGGUAGUC